CGAAAGCCUGAUGCAGCGAGCCGCGUGGGGGAUGAAGGCUUUAGGGUCGAAACCCCUUUUGCCAGGGAAGAGAUCUGACGGUACCUGGCGAAUAAGCCACGGCUACUACGUGCCAGCAGCCGCGGUAAUACGUAGGUGGCAAGCGUUGUCCGGAUUUACUGGGCGUAAAGCGCGUGUAGGUGGUUUGGAAAGUCCGGGGUGAAAUCUUGCGGCUCAACUGCAAGAGGUCCUUGGAUACUUCCAGACUUGAGGGAGGCAGAGGAAGGUGGAAUUCCCGGUGUAGUGGUGAAAUGCGUAGAUAUCGGGAGGAACACCAGUGGCGAAGGCGGCCUUCUGGGCCUUUCCUGACGCUGAGGCGCGAAAGCGUGGGUAGCAAACCGGAUUAGAUACCCGGGUAGUCCACGCCCUAAACGAUGAGCACUAGGUGUGGGGGGUAUCGACCCCCUCCGUGCCGAAGCUAACGCGAUAAGUGCUCCGCCUGGGGACUACGGCCGCAAGGCUA
rnacentral:rRNA from 1 species